rnacentral:rRNA from 1 species
AGAAUCAACGCUGGCGGCGUGCCUAACACAUGCAAGUCGAACGAGAAAGGGGUAGCAAUACCCUGAGUAAAGUGGCGCACGGGUGAGUAACACGUGACUAACCUACCCUUGAGUGGGGGAUAACUGAGGGAAACCUUAGCUAAUACCGCAUAAUACCCACGGGUCAAAAGGAGCAAUUCGCUCGAGGAGGGGGUCGCGGCCGAUUAGUUAGUUGGCGGGGUAAUGGCCCACCAAGACGAUGAUCGGUA